AGAAAUCGAUGGAAACUCCAAAGAAAGAGCCCCAAAUUUGAUGAAACCUUAAUCGAUGAUGCUCAUGCUCCAUCCUUUUUAACAUACUGUCUGAAGAUGGCGCGAUCAGCGAAAGUGAAGUUACGGGGACAGUUGCUAGCAAAUAUGGUGAACCUCGGAUAGCAAAAGAACACGUUUCGGAUACAACCGAUUAUCCUACACCAAUACCACCGAUUAAAAAGUCGAAACAGUUGAUUGGAUAUUUUUUUUCUGUUUAACUUUUGGAUAAUUUUUUCAUGUUUAACUUUUGGAUAAUUCUUUAUUGUUUAAGUAUUUGAUGAUAUAUACUACAAUAUGUUAUCAAAACAAUUGAUUGCACCUUUUUGUUCUUGUUUGAGUGUUAUAAAAUAGUUAACAAUGUGCACAUAGUGUCUGGUAUGAAUUUUUUUUUAUAAUGUUUGGGUAUCAUAAGUUCAGGACAAAAAUACUAUACAUAAUUCAUACAGUUCGGAUACACUAUCUUUUAAGCAGUAAUAUGUAUACUGAAUGUAUGAAACAGGUAUGAAAUACCAGUUAUAUCAAUAUGAUUAUGAAUUUACUAUUAAAAACACGAAUUGUGUUUUCAUUGUUUUUUUAUUUUAGUUUGAAUUAAACAUAAUUAUUAUGUGUAUGACCACAUCUUAAAUUAGUCACUAAUAUAUACAAUAUCUUAAAUAUGAGACAAUUUUAAAUAUAAACAAUUCGAUAGAUUUGGUAUUAUUGAAUAGUGUAUAAAUAAAAAAUUCUUACAGUAUGCAUUAUGUAUGAUUAAUCAAUGAUCAGUGUAUGCGUCUGUCUUAUUUUCUCAUGAAUUAAAUAUGCUUAAUAUAUGUAUGACCAACCAUAAAACAAGUGUUUGAAUUGACUACAUAAUUAACUUUUUAUAAGUAGUCCAAAUAUAUACAAUACAUUUAAGUCUGGAACAAAUUUUUAGAAACAACUAUAUGAAAUUUGUGUACUUAAUGAAUGAAUCUUGAAUAAAUUGAAACACAUAUAAAAAAUUCAGUGAUUAAAUCAUAAAAAUAGUGUUUGAAUUAAUUACAUAAUUAAAUCUUUAUAAGUAUUACUAAUAUUUACAAUACAUUUAUCACCCCUAAAAUUAGUGUUUGAAUUACAUAAAUAUGCUUAAUAUAUGUAUGCCCAACCAUAAAAAUAGUGUUUGAAUUAACUACAUAAUUAACUUUUUAUAAGUAGUCCUAAUAUAUACAAUACAUUAAAUCUGGAACAAAUUUUAGUAACAACUGUAUGAAAUUUGUGUACUUAAUAAAUGAAUCUUGAAUAAAUUGAAACACAUAUAAAAAAACAAUGGAUUAAACCAUAAAAUUAGUUUUUGAAUUAAUUACAUAAUUAAAUUUUUAUAGGUAUUACUAAUAUAUACAAUACAUUUAAUUAUGAACAAUUUUUAUUAACAACUUUAUGAAUUUUGUGUAUUGAAUGAAUGAAUCUUGUAUAAAUUGAAACACAUAUAAAAAAAUUAAAUUUAUAAGAGUAUGCAUUUUGUAUGAUUACUGAAUGAAUAAACUAAGUUAUGCACAAUGGAUAUUUAGUAAAGAAAUUCAAAUUAACUUUCUUUUGAUCUAAUUAAGAAAACACACACACCAACAUCAUUGUGUAUUCUAACAGGUGGGCAUCGAUCAUCUACUAAAAUUUUUAUCUCUAAAUCAUUUAUAUUAGUAUCUAUCAUAAGCUGCGAUGUUAUCACGCUUACUAGACCACUAUAAAGACUAGAAGAAUCAUAUAAAAACCCUGCCAUUUGAAAAUCCACAUAAUGCCCUGUUUCAUUAAAAAAAAAAAAAA
rnacentral:lncRNA from 1 species